rnacentral:rRNA from 1 species
AUGAAAGCUUCAACACCACUGCAAAUGGUACAUAGAACUGCAGAUUGUACCUCCGUCAUCCCGCCGUCCUCACCCCAUCAUUGUGCGCCCCCGCCUGUCCGCUCACGCAUUCACAUUGAGGAAGAUGAUGAGUACCUCAGCCACGCCGCCGUCCUCUCCCCGUCGUCGCGCGCCCCCGCUCGUCAUCCAUCCGCAGCUUUUCCAGUCCCGACCGCCGGAGAGUCGCGCCGCUGGGAACAAGCACCUUGCAAUCGUGGUGUGCUUCUCCGUUGGUGCUGUCGUAUAGACAUCUUGCAAGUAAGUGACCUUCAAUCCAAAUGUUAUCUUUCUCUGCACUUGAUUUCAGUUGCUUUCUUAUGGUCUCCUGAAUUACUUGGCAUGUGUCAGCCAUUCUGGAUAGGGAACGUUCUUAAGGGACAUCAUGUUCACUUGGGAUACUUACUGGAUUAA